AUCCUCUCAAGGUUGCAUCUGGAGAGUUUCCAGUACUCUCCCAGCCUCGUUUAUGGGAGGGAGAGUCAAGCAGAGGCCAAGCCAUUCCAUUCCUAGUUUGGGCAGUGGCUAGUGAGUGGAAGGCAAUCUGCUACAAGU